GUCCCCAUCUAAACGUAGUCGAGUAGAAAGGAAGAUGGAUUAUGUAAUUUAUGUCCUUUUUGUCAUGCUCAUUUUGAUAUCGAUGGUAUCUUCUAUCGGUUCAGCUGUACUCACGAGAUCUUAUGCUGUUAAGUGGUAUUACCUUGAGGUGAAAAAUGGUACUGAUUCAUCUUUUGAUCCAUCAAAGCCGGUGGAAUCAUGGUUGUUGCAAUUCAUAAGGGCUUUAGUGUUGUAUGGAUACUUGAUACCGAUUUCUUUAUAUGUUUCGAUUGAAGUUGUGAAAGUUCUACAAGCUAUGCUCAUCAACAAGGACCAGAAGAUGUAUGAUGAUGUAACAGAUAAAUCAGUUGAGGCAAGGACUUCGAAUUUAAACGAGGAGCUUGGACAGGUGGAAAUGAUUCUGACUGACAAAACAGGCACACUGACUUGUAACCAAAUGGAAUUUAGGAAAUGUUCAAUUGAAGGGAUUUCGUAUGGGGGUGAGAUCACAGAAAUUGAUCUUGCAGCAUCGAGGAGAAUGAACGUUGAGGUGGAGAGAUAUCGGUUCAGUCUAGGUGGAUAUGAUCCCACUGGUCGAAGCCUAGAGAUGUUUGAGUUCUCAAUGGCUGAUACAACAACAGAGAAGAUGGCCCUUGGUUUCGAUAAAGGUAUGGAGACACCAAAUACAACAACUCCAAGAAAUUCUAUUACAAGAAGAGACAUGGCUAUUAAGGGAUUUAACUUCAGGGAUGAUAGACUAAUGGACAAAAUGUGGAUUAAUCGAUCUAAUGUAUCUGAUAUGAUGAUGUUCUUUCGCGUAAUGGCUCUAUGUCACACCGGUAUUCCUAUUGAAGAUGAGAGAAGGGAUAGAAUGAAAUAUGAGGCAGAGUCACCGGAGGAAGUAUCCUUUCUGAUAGCUGCACAAGAGUUUGGUUUCAAGUUCUGUCAUAGAACUCAGUCUGUGAUGAUUGUUGAAGAACUUGACCCUUCUUCCGGAAUGGAUGUUAAAAGGGAGUACAAGCUUUUGAAUCUUUUAGAAUUCAACAGCUCUAGAAAGAGGAUGUCUGUGAUAGUGAG
rnacentral:misc_RNA from 1 species